UUGAUCGGUUUCUCGAGGGCGGGGCACUGCCCACGACGAAAGAGGCGCAGGCUAUUGCCGAUGAUGUAUUCUCCCUCUUUGUCAGUGAGGAGGUCGACAAGGUCGAGCUUCUCUACACUAAAUUUGUAUCCCUCGUCAAGUCUGACCCUGUGAUCCAUACUCUCCUUCCUCUCUCUCCCAAGGGCGAGAUCUACGACAUCAAUGGAGUUUGUGUUGAUGCUGCUGAAGAUGAGCUCUUCAAGCUUACCACCAAAGAAGGAAAAUUAACAGUUGAAAGGGAGACUGUUAGAACCCCAACUCCAUCAUUCUCUCCAAUUCUUAAAUUCGAGCAAGACCAAGGGUGAAUUUGUUUUUUUAAUGCUUGCUUUUUUUUAAUGUUGUUUGAGAAAUAUCGUCGUUUCAUAUAUUCCUUGGUAAAUGCAUGCAUAUCAUAUAUUGUUU